rnacentral:rRNA from 1 species
UACGUAGGGGGCUAGCGUUGUCCGGAUUUAUUGGGCGUAAAGAGCGUGUAGGCGGCCAGGUAGGUCUGGUGUGAAAACUCGAGGCUCAACCUCGAGAGGUCAUCGGAAACCAUCUGGCUAGAGUCCGGAAGAGGAGAGCGGAAUUCCCCGGUGUAGUGGUGGAAUGCGUAGAUAUCGGGAAGAACACCAGUGGCGAAAGCGGCUCUCUGGGGACCAUCUGACGCUGAGGCGCGAAAGCGUGGGGAGCGAACCGG